CUAGAUCAAUUUGUAAUUUUUGUACAUUGAAUUUUAGAAUACUUCUAUCCAUUUUGGCCUGUAGAAAAUACGGUGUUGGCAAAGAUUGAUAUUGUGUUCUUCUGAUUGACGGUAUCAAAAUUUCUUACAAAAAGCAGAGAGAUUUCUUGGUAGAGACUGUGCCAUCUCUUGAUCGUCUAGUUCUGCAGCAAAGCGUUCUCUUGUGGUAACCGUCAUGGGGGACGGAACGUGAUGCGCCAGUAUGCUGUAUACACCUGAAAAAUCUAGAAAGGAAGGAAAAAGUCACGUUACAUAAAUCUGGAAAGAAGGAAAGAUGGGUCACGUUGCAUAUUUUUCUACAGCAAUUCAUCCGCUUAAAAGCCUGGACCCGGACGGUGACGUGUGUGGUGUGUCACGGCAUGAUCAAUCAGUGUGCGUACAUGCAUCACCUAGGCAUCCAGGUGAGAGGUGACGGCUAGCUGCAUACAUGUCAUUUGUUACUGCCAAAAGAAUCGUCCAUCAGCAUAUAGACUUUCAUCAGAAAAAUCUCCGGAUCGGAAUUUCCCCAAUGCUUCUGGUUGCGGCAGCUAUCUCGACGGGGCAACAAAAUUCAAGGCAUUUAUUCAGGAAAUCAUCGAGAGACAGAGACCAAUGUCAAGACGACUCACAUCUGGGAUGACGGAAGACCUAGUUAUCCUUCAUGAACGAUUGUCACUGAGGGAGCUCUUCAUCCCCUGCAGCACCUGGGUUCGAGCUGUGUUGCGGUUCGUAGACGACCAUGCGGGUGGAAGAGCUCACUCAAUGGUGAUGAUAUAGAAAAUCACCGCUAUCAGCCACAGGUAAAAGAGCAGAAUUGGAAGGAAGGAGGAGGCAGCGGACAUGUAGAGCCGUCGGCGGUGAUGUUUUUCUUUUCGGUUUUGUAUCCUCGAGCAAGGUUACAUAGAGCAAUGUUCUGUCAGCUGGAUCAUGAAAGCUUUUC
rnacentral:lncRNA from 1 species